UGAACAGAACAAAUACAUUUAUACAGGUUUGGAACAACUUGAGGGUGUGUAAAUAAUGACAUUUUUAUUUUUGGGUGAAUUAUCCCUUUAAUAUCUUUAUUAACAAUAUUAACAUCUCAAUGGCAUUUUCUGUAAAUUUGCAACAAACAAAUGUAGCUACAUAUUACAUUAUACAUUAUACAUUAUACAUAUAUAUACAUUAUAUUUGAUUACAAGGUUAGAGAACAUUUUCAACUCAGCCUCGUUAAAAAGUGCUUAUUUUAAAAUAUGACAAUCUACUGGGUGUUUACAGGAGACGAGAGGCGCUGAUUGGGCCAUGGUAGAUCGACGCGUAAAUCCACCAAUCACAGCGUGCUUUUCUCGUGACGUAGGAACAUUUGAAAUUGACGAACAGCGCGAAUGGUAGUUGAAGAAGUUGGCGCAAAAUGUCCCUGGUCUGAUUGUCUUUUUGACGGAAAAAGCGAGUACGGACUCGUUCACAAACAGAGUCGCGGCAGAUACAGAGUUGUGAUGGAGGAUGUUUUACCCGCUGGGACAGUUUGUGGCCCAAACAACAGAACUGUCUCCUGGUCAACGGAACUCUGCCCUCAACAAUAAAUACUGGAAUAAUCAGACGGCCUACUUAAAUAUGGACACUGAUGAUGCAACAAAAAGUCUUCAUUUACAACAAAGGUACUUUGGGGCUGACAGACAGCCAUUGUGAAGGACACAAUCUGGCAAAAAUUUACCUGCAGAAGUGAAUGGGAGGAUAUGGGCUCUGAGGAAAAACUCUACACACAGACGCUCUACACACAUAGACGGCUCAAUGCUGCUAACUGGCAGAGCAGCUGGAAAACUAAGUCAAAAAAACUAGAACGUUAAUACGGAUGACUGUAUUAUUUUUCUGCAAGAACCAGGUCAAGCAAAGACAGUGAUGAGCACUCAGAGCAAACACAGCAGUCAGACGCAGGAUUUCUUUUUUGAAUAUUUAGGAGAACAUUCUGGGAACAAAAAUAAAACUUCCUGUUAAAUAACUAUAAGAAUGUUAGGGGAUAAUGUUCUAAUGUUAUGACUAAACAUUUGUAGAAGGUCAUCGCAAAACGUUUUUAGAGUGUUUUGUAGAGAAUGUUAUCUUACCUUUUUAGAAGAACAUUCUAAGAACAAAAAUAAACUUUCCCACUACAAACUUUAUAAAAACAUUGGGAAAUAAUGUUCUAACAAUGUUAUGACUAAACAGUUUUAGAAUGUUUUAGAGAAUGUUAUCCUACCUUUAAGGAGAACAUUCAGGGAA